CGCAUCUUGCACCCUUUGGUAUUCCGAAGGGUAUGCCUGUUUGAGUGUCAUAUAAACCUUCACCCUUGGUUUUGUUUAAUUACAAGAUCAGGCGGUGGUUUGGGCGUCUGCCGUUUACUCUGGCUCGCCUUAAAAGUCUCAGUGGAUAUGCGUGAUUAAGUCUUCGCAAGUCUUCCACUCUAAGCCCCCCUAUUUAUAUUUUGACCUCAAAUCAGGUAGGACUACCCGCUGAACUUAA
rnacentral:misc_RNA from 1 species